rnacentral:rRNA from 1 species
UACGAAGGGAGCUAGCGUUGUUCGGAAUCACUGGGCGUAAAGCGCACGUAGGCGGAUUUGUCAGUCAGGGGUGAAAUCCCGGGGCUCAACCUCGGAACUGCCUUUGAUACAGCAAGCCUUGAGUUCGAGAGAGGUGGGUGGAAUUCCUAGUGUAGAGGUGAAAUUCGUAGAUAUUAGGAAGAACACCGGUGGCGAAGGCGGCCCACUGGCUCGAUACUGACGCUGAGGUGCGAAAGCGUGGGGAUCGAACAGG